GUUGUUAGAAGAAAUCUCUUGUUUUUUCCCACUUUACAGGGUUAAUCCUGUAAGGAAUUACAGUGUUCUGGUGUUGUUUCUAGCCUAAUCUUUAUUGCCCUGCUUAGAGAAACUUCCUUUCUAUUAACCUUUAUUACAUUCUUCGCAAGACUUAUUGUCUGAGCUUCUCAGGAGUUUUUAUGUUCUUUGCUGGUACUUUCUUUUUCUUUGCUUGACUUUCUUAAAGGGGAAGGAUUGUUUUAAGCUGUUUACAAUGCUGUUGGGAGGAAAUACUCCCCUGUUGGAGUUGUUCCAGCCGGGAUGCAAUGAUCAGCACUUUGAAGAAAUAAUUGAAUAAGGAAGAGCUGAUGGAAAGAAGCUUUUAAUGGCAAGGAACCAACAUGAGUGCCAUUCAGCAAGGCUUCUUGGCUAACUAGGAAGAUUGACAUUCAAAGUUCUACUUCUGAGAUAUCUUCCAGUAAAAUGAAUCAGGACGGAACUUAAAUAGUCAAUUUCUCACUUACACUUCCAAUGACAGAUCAAAAAUGAAACUUAAACUUUGUCUAAAUUCAUCACCUUUUGCCUAAUGUGGAUUUACUUGGUCUGUUGUGUGGAUGUUUGGGUGGUUUAGGGGUGGAGAAUUGCGGUGGGUGGGAGUGUGUUUGGGGAUUGUUAUGUGUGUUGGACCUGGUCUUUGGGUGUUAAGUGAAUUUCGUUGUAUGGGUAUUAUGUGCAUACACGUACAAUGACAAUAAAGUUAUUAUUAUUA